UACGGAGGGGGCGAGCGUUAUUCGGAAUUAUUGGGCGUAAAGGGCGCGUAGGCGGCUGUACAAGUCAAAGGUGAAAUCCCUCGGCUCAACUGAGGAACUGCCUUUGAAACUGACAAGCUCGAGUUCUGGAGGGGAAAGCGGAAUUCCUGGUGUAGCGGUGAAAUGCGUAGAUAUCAGGAGGAACACCGGUGGCGAAGGCGGCUUUCUGGACAGAAACUGACGCUGAUGCGCGAAAGCUAGGGGAGCAAACAGG
rnacentral:rRNA from 1 species